UGACUGAGGGAGCGGCGGACUGGGACUAGGGUUAGGGUUUGUGGGUAGAGAUGAUGGAAUGCCCAUUUUCGAUUUGAUAGAGUGCCGAAAUCUUCUGGGUUUGGGUUUGUGGGUGGACCACAUUUUGGUUCUCACCAUUUAAUGAAAAGAAAAACUUUUCAGCUUCCCUUAAAAAUUGCCGGAAAAAAUAGUGCAGGAAGGGAGUUGGCAGAAUGAGAGUUGUGG
rnacentral:misc_RNA from 1 species